AAACCAUGAUGGAUGCACCUUCUAAGGAGAUCCAUGAAUCUUUCAUAGGCUUCAAACAAUGUCUCAGAUUCCUCUUGUUUAAAUGCCGAAAUUUCUUGUCUCAAUUU